AAUUUAAAUGGCUGCAGUAUUUUGACUGUACAAAGGUAGCAUAAUCAUUUGUCUUUUAAUUGAAGGCUUGUAUGAAUGGUUGGAUGAGAAAUAUACUUUCUUUAUUUUAUAUAAAAAAUUUAAUUUUUUGGUUAAAAAGCCAAAAUAUUUUUAUAGGACGAGAAGACCCUAUAGAACUUUAUUUUCUUUUUAUAUAAAUUUUUUAGAUUUAUAUAAUUUUAUAUAAUUAUGUUAAUUUUGUUGGGGUGAUUGAAAAAAAAAAUUAACUUUUUCUAUUUUUUACAUUUAUUUAUGUUAUUUUGAUCCUAUUUUAUGGAAAAAAAGAUUAAGUUACCUUAGGGAUAACAGCGUUAUUUUUUUGGAGAGUUCAUAUCGAUAAAAAAGUUUGCGACCUCGAUGUUGGAUUAAAAUAAGUAAUAGGAGCAGAAUAUUAUUUACUAGGUCUGUUCGACC
rnacentral:rRNA from 1 species